UAGUCCACGCAGUAAACGAUGUCUAUUAGAGGUUUGUGGCUAUAUGCCGUGGGUUUCAAAGCUAACGCAUUAAAUAGACCGCCUGGGGAGUACGGCCGCAAGGUUAAAACUCAAAUGAAUUGACGGGGGCCCGCACAAGCGGUGGAGCAUGUGGUUUAAUUCGAUGCAACGCGAAGAACCUUACCAUCCCUUGACAUCCAGAGAAUCUGUUAGAUAUAGUAGAGUGCCUUCGGGAACUCUGAGACAGGUGCUGCAUGGCUGUCGUCAGCUCGUGUCGUGAGAUGUUGGGUUAAGUCCCGCAACGAGCGCAACCCUUGUCUUUAGUUGCCAUCAUUUAGUUGGGCACUCUAGAGAAACUGCCGGUGACAAACCGGAGGAAGGUAAGGAUGACGUCAAGUCAGCAUGCCCCUUACGCUCUGGGCUACACACGUGCUACAAUGGUCUGACAAAGAGUUGCUAGUCUGCGAAGGCAAGCCAAUCUCAUAAACGCGG
rnacentral:rRNA from 1 species